AUGCUUCAUGCUUCAAAAUCUGAUGUAGUUGGCAUUUAUGGCAUUGCGGGGUCUGGGAAGACAACACUUGCACAAUAUGUUUGUAACGCCAUGAAAGAGGAAGAGGGAGAGAAAGAGGAAAGGAAACGCAAUUUCCACCUUUUUAUGUGGAUUCACGUCACCCAGAAGUUUAGCGUGCAUGCCAUUUUCAGUGAGAUGUUGGAAGCAGCUUCAGGUAAAAAGGCUGAAUAUACUAGCCUUGAUGUCCUGCAGACAAAACUAAAGAAUGAACUAAGUAAAAAAAUUCUAUUAGUACUUGAUGAUAUCUGGUGCAACAAAGAUCCCCAUGAGCAGAAUCUGCAACGGUUGAUGUUUCCAUUGCAAUUUGGGUUGGAAGGAAGCAAGAUCCUAGCCACAAGUCGAAAUAAAGAUGCAUUUGCCGAUCUAAGUCCUGGCCUGACAUGCAAUUCUGUUCCAAUACCUGACUUGAAUGAUGAUGACUUCUAUAAAAUGUUCAUGCAUUAUGCAUUGGGAAGAUCAGACCUCGAUGACAGUGAGCGUCGAAAACUGGAAGAUAUUGGGGCUGAAAUAGCGAAGAAGCUAAAGGGGUUACCUUUAGCGGCGAGAACCGUGGGAGGACAGCUACAUAGAAGAAAAGAUGUUAGGUUCUGGAGGAGUGUCAAAGUUAGGGACCUUUUGAACGAGACGACUAGAGCUCUUUGGUGGAUCUACCAGCAAUUUGAUGAGCAUGUGAGGCAAUGCUUUGCUUAUUGCAGUAUUUUUUCCAAAAGACAUCAUUUCAAACGUGAUGGGUUAGUACAGUUGUGGAUGGCACAAGCGUUUAUAGAGACAACUAAUGCUGCAGAGGAUCUGUAUGAUGUUGGUCAGAAUUACUUUGAUGAAUUAUUGUCAGUCUCAUUUCUGCAAUUAGGAGAGAGACAAGUGGAACAUGGAUGUGAGGUUGAUUACUUCACUGAUCAUGACCUGCUGCAUGAUUUAGCAGAGGAGGCUGCUAGAGGAGAUUGCUUCAGAAUCGAGGAAGGUGUCACAGAAGAAGUUCCUCCAGAUGUUCGUCAUCUAUUCGUCGAGAGUUGUGAUAUAAAGAUGCUUACAGAGAAAAUAUAUGAAUUGCAGAAUUUGCGCACUCUCAUCAUUGAUUGCCAUAUAAAUAUUGGUUCAAGAGAUAAAAAAGUCUUUGAGAGAAUGUUCAGGAGGUUGAAGAAAUUGCGGGUGCUGGUUCUGCGUUUCUCCGCAGAUGAUGGCUAUAUCUUCUCACUUCCAGCAUGUAUUGGUCUGUUAAAGCAUCUAAGGUAUUUUGACUUUAAUGUGGAAGGAAGGGCGAAGCUAAUGCUACCAAACAGUAUUACCAAGCUUUACCACAUCCAGGUGCUAGAUAAUUAUAGUAGCGGUGGUGUGGUUUUUACUGGUAGUAAAAAUAUUAGUCAGCUCAUUAACUUGCGGUGUAUACGCAGCAUGGAAAACUUUCCAGACAUUGGCAGGCUGAAAUGGCUCCAAAAGCUAGUACACUUCAGUAUAAGCAAGACACAGGGGUACGAGCUACGACAAGUGAAGGACCUAAACAAGCUUGAAGGCACGCUAAGUAUCACGGGUCUUGAGAAUGUCCAAAGCAAGGAAGAAUCUAUUGAAGCCAGUCUUGCACACAAGGAGCGGCUGAAAAAACUUGCACUAUCCUGGGAUGACACGAGUUGCAGUCCAGAAGUUGAAGCGGAGGUGCUUGAGGGCCUUUGCCCACCGAAAUAUCUUGAGAGACUGGAAGUUGGGGAUUACCAUGGUUGGACGUACCCAGAUUGGAUGGUGGGUCAGCAGAAUGGCGGCCCAAAGCAUUUGCGUAAUCUUUGGCUCGACAGCUGCAGCCGACUUGAACGGGCUCCUCAACUUUUUGAGGUCUUGGUGCAUCUUCGUUGGUUUAGGCUUGGGUUCAGCAAUUGGCACGCCUUGCCCGAUAAUAUGGAGCGGCUGGCGUCACUCCUGUUACUGGACAUUAAUCGUUGCCCGAAUAUCCAAUCCCUUCCAACACUGCCCUCCUCCCUUGAGAAGUUUUGUCUCACGGCCGGCAACGAGGAGUUCAUGAGGUCAUGCGUAACAAUCGGACAUCUAAACUGGCAAAAGAUUCAGCACAUUCCCGAUAAACUUAUUUUGCCUUUUUAA
rnacentral:rRNA from 1 species